rnacentral:rRNA from 1 species
GACGAACGCUGGCGGCGUGCUUAACACAUGCAAGUCGAACGGAAAGGCCCUGCUUUUGUGGGGUGCUCGAGAGGCGAACGGGUGAGUAACACGUGAGUAACCUGCCCUUGACUUUGGGAUAACUUCAGGAAACUGGGGCUAAUACCGGAUAGGAGCUCCUGCUGCAUGGUGGGGGUUGGAAAGUUUCGGCGGUUGGGGAUGGACUCGCGGCUUAUCAGCUUGUUGGUGGGGUAGUGGCUUACCAAGGCUUUGACGGGUAGCCGGCCUGAGAGGGUGACCGGCCACAGUGGGACUGAGAUACGGCCCAGACUCCUACGGGAGGCAGCAGGGGGGAAUAUUGCACAAUGGGCGGAAGCCUGAUGCAGCAACGCCGCGUGCGGGAUGACGGCCUUCGGGGUGUAAACCGCUUUCGCCUGUGACGAAGCGUGAGUGACGGUAAUGGGUAAAGAAGCACCGGCUAACUACGUG